rnacentral:rRNA from 1 species
GAGUUUGAUUAUGGCUCAGAGCGAACGCUGGCGGCAGGCUUAACACAUGCAAGUCGAGCGCCCCGCAAGGGGAGCGGCAGACGGGUGAGUAACGCGUGGGAACGUACCUUUUGGUUCGGAACAACACAGGGAAACUUGUGCUAAUACCGGAUAAGCCCUUACGGGGAAAGAUUUAUCGCCGAAAGAUCGGCCCGCGUCUGAUUAGCUUGUUGGUGAGGUAACGGCUCACCAAGGCGACGAUCAGUAGCUGGUCUGAGAGGAUGAUCAGCCACAUUGGGACUGAGACACGGCCCAAACUCCUACGGGAGGCAGCAGUGGGGAAUAUUGGACAAUGGGCGCAAGCCUGAUCCAGCCAUGCCGCGUGAGUGAUGAAGGCCCUAGGGUUGUAAAGCUCUUUUAACGGGGAAGAUAAUGACGGUACCCGUAGAAUAAGCCCCGGCUAACUUCGUGCCAGCAGCCGCGGUAAUACGAAGGGGGCUAGCGUUGCUCGGAAUCACUGGGCGUAAAGGGUGCGUAGGUGGAUCUUUAAGUCAGGGGUGAAAUCCUGGAGCUCAACUCCAGAACUGCCUUUGAUACUGAGGAUCUUGAGUUCGGGAGAGGUAAGUGGAACUGCGAGUGUAGAGGUGAAAUUCGUAGAUAUUCGCAAGAACACCAGUGGCGAAGGCGGCUUACUGGCCCGAUACUGACACUGAGGCACGAAAGCGUGGGGAGCAAACAGGAUUAGAUACCCUGGCAGUCCACGCCGUAAACGAUGAAUGCCAGCCGUUGGAGGGUUUACUCUUCAGUGGCGCAGCUAACGCUUUAAGCAUUCCGCCUGGGGAGUACGGUCGCAAGAUUAAAACUCAAAGGAAUUGACGGGGGCCCGCACAAGCGGUGGAGCAUGUGGUUUAAUUCGACGCAACGCGCAGAACCUUACCAGCCCUUGACAUGUCGUGACCGGGUCGCAGAGACGUGACCUUCUCUUCGAGCCGCGAACACAGUGCUGCAUGCUGUCGUCAGCUC